CCUCCACCGCUUGGAUUUACGAAGGGGCCGACCCCCAUCUCUUUUUUCUCUCUUCCUCUCCAUCGUCUGCUCCCAUCUUUCUCCUCACAAAUUAUUGCUGGGGCAUGGCUGUGUUGAGCAGGGUCAUGGAGCCGGCGAAGCUGGGCUGCAUCUUGCGGCGGCGGUUGGCAGAAGAAUCCUCGCCGCCAUCAAAAACGGCGGAGGAGGAGGAAGCAGGCGCGAAGAACUGAAGCGCCCCGUGGAUGGUGGUGGCGAUGGAGGGGACAAUACCGACCACCAUGGCUGCCAUGAUGGCCGGCUCGGAUUGCUGCGGCAGCCAGCGGGUCCCGCCGUCCGGUUUGUGCCCUAGCCGGGUUCAUGCUUCCGUGGAAGAAAAACAGAUCCAAGUACGCGAACUCCAUCACGAUGGGGUUGCAGGCCAUCUCAGCCAUCAUCCACCACCGCGACGUCCUGGGACGCGAGGCCUUCCUCACGGUCGGCCUCCAUUACAUCAUGGGUACUGCAACAUCCAUCUCCCCUUCCAUCCAUUGUCUCUGGCGGCACAGGGGGGACCUCGGUGCCGUCUUCUCCAUCCUGACUCCUGAUAGGCGGAACAUGGGAGUAGCCGACGCUGGCUGUUGCUCUCUUCCAGAUGCAGUCCUCCGUGAUGCAUUGUUGUUCCCGUGGUGAGCAUUCUCUUUCUGUCUAUGUAUCUAAAUCUCUUUCGAUCGAACAACACAGGGGAGGGGCCAUGGUUGCAGGGGAGUUCUCAUUUGGAGAUUUUCUUUUAGUUUCAUCUUGCCUGAUCUAGCCAAAAGAAUUCAGGAAGAACCAUAAGAGAAAAAGAAACAUAUAGGUAUACUUCUUCUCUGAACUGAUCUAGCCACAGGAAUUCAGGAAAAACCAGAAGAGAAAAAAAUUAGAGGAAAUGUACUAAAUUUUCUCAAGAAAGGGGAUGAGCGCGCCCUACUGAAUUAUGUCUGUUGUUUGCUGCUUCUGGAGUAGCAGCAUAUCAUGUUUCUUUUGAACUUGAGACGCAGAUUAGGAUGGGACAUUAGGAACUACAGGGCUGUACAGGCAAGCUGAUGAACAAACAUACUGUUGUAUCGAGUAAUGCAAAUAACCAGAUAAGUUCAGCAUCAUGAUAUUUGGUGGCAUCUGCCCUAGGCAGUAUGCAAGUAAGCAUAUGUUCUUAUCUAUCUAAGUUGCAAUUGAAAAAUUGUCAGUGCUCAAUUCUACUGCAAGCUUUGUGCAAAACAAUUAUAUGCUCUAAUCACCCAGAGAUGGUAUUGCAGAAUUCUACUGACAAUAUAUGUUCAGUUACAUACAGUCUGCAAGGCAACAUAUGUUCUUAUCGCUCUAAGCUGCAAUUCACAAAUUCUAAAUGUUCAGUUCUGCCGCAAACAGUGUGCAAGAAAAUGAUAAGCUCUAAUCAACCAGAUAUGAUAUUGGAGAAUUCUGAACACUUUGGGUAGGUCGGUGUGUUAUGGUUAAACUUAAAUUGUUAUUGUCUUCAACAGUUUCCAGUUGUGCUGCUGGUUGCUCGUGUG